rnacentral:snoRNA from 1 species
GGGCUUCCAUCUAUGGGGUCACAGAGAGUCGGACACGACUGAAGUGACUUAGCAGCAGCAGCAGCAACUUCAUGCUAAGAGCAGUUUGGAGAGAGUUUGACAGAACAGGUCAGCAUAAUAUCUGCAACUUCCAUUUGUCUUUCCUGUAAUA